AAAAAAGUAGAAAAUUAUACAUGUGCGUUUGUGUUUGUUUUAUGUGUGUCAGUGCGUGUGUGGAUUACGUGUGACACCACCCCUAAGGAAAACAGAUACAAACAAAAUUGAUUUAAAUUUCUUGCAAAAAUGAUUGGAUUAUAUGGAAUCGGGAUCCCUUUAAAGUAUACGAAAUUGAUUGCCUUAUCUGUCAGAAAAUAAUAAGAAAAAAGGAAUUAAUGAUUUAGAAAAAAUGUUAAGAUAAAUUUUGCAAGUGAAAACUUUCGCCUAACUAACCCAAACAGUAUGCUACAAAUUCAUAGAAAAAGCUUUGGUUGUUGUUGUCUAUUACAUUGUUAAACUUCUCUUAAUAACAUGCAUCUCAACUCAGCAGCGAAAUUUUAACUGUGCAAAAAAUGAUAAACAAAGAAUUAAAAAAAUUGAGAAAAGGAUAUAUUUAAAAAAAAUCACCAAAUAUUUGAAAUUAAGUAUGAGAAAAAUGAGAAAAUCAGUGAACAAUUUAUAAUAAAAGCUAAUUAUGAAUGCAACGACGACAUGGUUUUGCGCACCGUUUGUUUUACCAACACGUUUACAAUCGCUAAUGAGUAUAAUAGUGGAACUUGCAGCGUCAGCAACAACAAUAGCAGUUAUCCAAUUCCCUAACCUGCAUAAAAAAUAUCCUACUGCUGAUAGCAGAUUUAAGAGUUUUUAUAAUAUCAGAAACAGCUACCAAUACUUAUCAUUUUUCAAUGCUAAAAUCACUCUUUUUUAGACGGUUUACUUCGCAAAAUUAUUAUUUUGAUUGUUGACGUUCUUGUUGUUGUUCAUGUCCUAUACUCUUGCAACGUCGUUGUGCUCUAUCUUUCUACUAGAAAACAAAAUGUCCUAUACUUAAGAUAAAUUGUGCGUGUGGAUGAAUUUCGUUGCAACCAGGUUCUACUAUUAUGUUCAUAUAAUAUUAUUGCUCCCUGCUUUAAAUUACAUGCCACAACGACAACGACAGCGACAACAAUAAUGGUUUUAAAACAUUUCAUCCUUUACUCUUGUGGCCUCAUCUUGCUGUAAACGAUGCUAACACACCACGCUACGAAGUAUUGGAAAGGAGUGCAUACAUAUAUAAACACGCAUCGAAUGAGAAAAGUUAUUGCGAUACCGAUCAAUAUCAUAGGGAACGAGAUGAGGUGGUAAAUACUUCAAGAGCUGAAGCUGAAAAUAAGGUUGAAAAUGAAUGUUGCGAACGAAUAGUGCCAAUUAGGAUAUCAGAACAACUGUGAUGGAGAGCCGUUAAGCCCUUAAGCCGUUAUUAAGUAAAUGUUGGAGGUUCCUUGCAAUUCAAAUACGGAAUCAAGAUGGUCGGUCAUGCACGGCUCAUACCGAGAAAUGAGUAAAAUUGCUAAUAGUUUGAGCAGAUAGCUAAUAAAGAAAGAUAAAUAUCUGAUCAUCUAUUCUCAAUGAUAUAUAUAAAUACCUCAUCAGCUAUUCUCUUCCUUUAGGACAUGGAAUUCACCUACAUAUUAUACUUGACUCUUUGUGCCCUCUAACCUUGGUGGCAUGCAUGACUUCCGCUUGACUUCGUAAGUUUCAAAAAAAUCAGCUUGCAACGCGAUGUAUAUGCAUACAUGGUGAUGUGGCUCAAAGAAAUUGAAAAUAAAAUUGGCAACAUAGAAAUGAACGACCUUAUAUGAAUCUUUUAAAAAAAAGAGAAGGAUGUUAUUACGGGAUAAAGAACAGAAGAUAAAAUGUAGUUAAAGUACGGAAACGUUUUUAUGCCUAUAAACUGAUAAUGUUGCAAGGAAAAAAGAAAAAAUUACUCGUAACAACAAUAAAGUGAAUUAAACAGAAGCAAAGUAAAGAAGAGAAAAGUGACGAAACA